GUAGGUGACCUGCCCAGAAGUGGGGAAUAACAGUCCGAAAGGACUGCUAAUACCGCAUGCGGUGCCGGGGUUUUGAAGCCGGGUACCAAAGGUGUCCGCAAGGAUGCCGCUUCUGGAGGGGCCUGCGGCCCAUCAGCUAGUUGGUAGGGUAACGGCCUACCAAGGCGACGACGGGUAGGGGACCUGAGAGGGUGACCCCCCACACUGGCACUGACACACGGGCCAGACUCCUACGGGAGGCAGCAGUCGGGAAUAUUGCACAAUGGACGAAAGUCUGAUGCAGCAACGCCGCGUGCGCGAUGAAGGCCUUCGGGUCGUAAAGCGCUUUUCGGGUGGAUGAGAAGGGACAGUACACCCGGAAUCAGGAACGGCUAACUACGUGCCAGCAGCCGCGGUAAAACGUAGGUUCCGAGCGUUAUCCGGAUUUACUGGGCGUAAAGCGCGUUCAGGCGGUUGGGCAAGUCGGGCAUGAAAUCUCUGGGCUCAACCUGGAGAGGUUGUCCGAUACUGCCGAACUGGAGGGCAGUAGAGGGUGGUGGAAUU
rnacentral:rRNA from 1 species